rfam:Candidatus Gottesmanbacteria bacterium RIFCSPHIGHO2_02_FTLL_39_14 rifcsphigho2_02_scaffold_5154, whole genome shotgun sequence.
GGGCCCGUAGCUCAUCGGCAGAGCGAUUGUCUUAUAAACAAUAGGUGCUUGGUUCAACUCCAAGCGGGCCCA